UAAAACAGGUUUUGGAAAAGAACCACACAACAAAUGCCAAGCUUAAAUAAUAGCAAAGAAGCGGAAGACUAGGAACUAUACCUACUGAUGCUGCUAGUUCAGAUGCAGAAAAUGAGGUGUAGGCAGGUGAAAACCUUUGCUUUUUUGCCUUUGAAACUAAAGGAAGCCUUCCUCUUUUUGUCGUUAAGAGUUUUUGGAAAACCCGUAGGUUUGGUGAACCCUUUUUCGACAAAUGCAGGAUAGACUGGAACUGAUUUUUCCCUCUCGUUCUCUUUGUUUUUCUAUGCUAGCUCUCUCUGUUUUUUUUU
rnacentral:lncRNA from 1 species